rnacentral:rRNA from 1 species
ACGCACGCUGGCGGCGUGCUUAACCCCCUCAAGUCGCACGGAAAGGCCCUGCUUGCAGGGUACUCGAGUGGCGAACGGGUGAGUAACACGUGGGUGAUCUGCCCUGCACUUCGGGAUAAGCUUGGGAAACUGGGUCUAAUACCGGAUAGGAGCCAUCUUUAGUGUGGUGGUUGGAAAGUUUUUUCGGUGUAGGAUGAGCUCGCGGCCUAUCAGCUUGUUGGUGGGGUAAUGGCCUACCAAGGCGGCGACGGGUAGCCGGCCUGAGAGGGUGUACGGCCACAUUGGGACUGAGAUACGGCCCAGACUCCUACGGGAGGCAGCAGUGGGGAAUAUUGCACAAUGGGCGCAAGCCUGAUGCAGCGACGCCGCGUGGGGGAUGAAGGCCUUCGGGUUGUAAACUCCUUUCGCUAGGGACGAAGCUUUUUUGUGACGGUACCUAGAUAAGAAGCACCGGCUAACUACGUG